rnacentral:lncRNA from 1 species
UUGCUUUCUAAUCCCUUUAUCCGUCCCUUUUUGAUCUCCCACGUCUGUCCCCUCCUCCUUCGAACACCCACCAUCCUAUGCCCUCUUUGGAAGAACCUAUUUUCUAAGAAAAUCCUGAGGAUUUUUGGGAGGCAUUAUCUUCCCUUUCUAAAAAAGAAAAAAAAAUUGGAUGGUGAGGACAGCCAGCUGCAGAGCUGGGCAGAGAGGCCCCAGCUCUGCUCAUCAGCAAAGGGACAGCUGUCCCUGAGAGCUGGCCCAGGACCCGCCUACCUCGCAGGGGUCAGAACAGACUACUUGCUGGCAACACCAGGGACCCAGCCUUCCGCAGAAGCCACGCUUCAGCCUGGGAGCUGCGCUGCUUUUUCUUUGAAAUCAUGGCAAGGAGAGGGUCCUGAGCGUUCCUUGGCCACAGCAGCCCUCUCCUCGGGGCUCCUGUUCACCAAGAACUAUUUGCAAAAGUCCCUACAGAAAUGAGCAGCCCUUGGCUGAUGGCUGGAUGUAGGUGGCAGCUCCCUGGUAGGGGACAUCCAUUGUUGCUGACACUGUGUGUGCGCGGACAUGUGCCUUACGGCAAUCCCACCUGUUCUCAGGACUCCUGCGAACACCUCUGUGACUGUGUCAGCCCGUAGAAGCACACACUUGUCAUCUCAGAACUAAUCUGGGGGAGACGGAGCAGGAAGCGUGUUGAGGGCCCUGCCUGCCUGCCCGCUUCCAGAAGUGAUAGCAGAGAGUAAGAGGCACUUGGACUCCUACCCACUGUCUCCAGGGGGAAUUUCCUGCCUUCCUCUUAAAUGGAAAUGAGGGGUCCACAGAGAGGGUGCUUUCAACUUUAUCCAACAGCUGAAAAGCUCCAAAGACACUUUCAUCCGGAGGAAUCCGAACUCUCCUCACCAAGAGACCAUUUUGGAGGCGUCAGAAUCUGUUUUUAGGGUGUGGUGCUGGUGCUCAGAUUAGCAGUGAGCUUCUCUGAGCGCUUUAAAGACACAGCUUGUGUUUGCUCUUGGGCUCAGAAUCGGGGAAGCUGGAGCCAAAGGAGGUCAUGACACAGAGCCACCUCUCAGCGUGGGGUUCCCUGGGCUCCUCCACUGAGCAAGCCACCCAGAGCGUCUGUGCUCGCUCCCACUCAACUUGAACCACAUUCCAGGAGCCAACCAGAGUCCCAAGCAAGAGCAAAAUUCACCAGGAGGCAAGUGGAUGGGUUUAUUAAGGUCCUGAGCCUGACAGCUGCAGUCAGCUCUCUGUACCUGCAGGUCUGCAUCCUCUGAUUCAAGCAAAUGCAGACAAAAAAGAUAUUUGGAAAACAAUUGCAUCUGUACUGAACAUGCACAAACAUAUUUGGUCAUUAUUCCCUAAACAAUACAACACAACAAUUAUUUGCAUAGCAUUUGCUUUGCAUCUAGAGGUCGAUUAAAAUCUGCAGGAGGAUGUGAUAUAGGUUUUGUAUAAAUACUAUGCCAUUUUAUGUAAGGGACUUGAGCACUCUUGAUUUUUGGUAUCCUCAGGGGUCUAGAACCAAUCCCCAGAGAAUACUGAGGAACAACUGAUCUUCAGAGCAGCUAAAUAUUCUUUCAAGUAGAGCUUACAUUGCAAACACAGAAUAAUUUUAGCCAGUCUUUCCUUUGGGUUUGAGAAAGGACUUCUUUAGAACUUCAAAGAUAAAGCCAGGGAUGUUCAUUCCCGACUUGCCCUCUCCUAUUCAUUGCAGGAAAACAUCACUUUUUGAGAAACAGCAUGAGAACCUCUCCUCCACCUCUCUGUCCUGCCAACACAAGGCAGGAUUUUGUUCACCUCCUGGCAGGGCUGGGUUUUCCAUCUGAGGCCACCAGAAUGCUCUGUGUGGGUGAGCCAGGUGACUAAUCUCACCUGCUCCACCUUCUGGAUUCACCUGAAUUACCCAUGCCAAUCUCAAGCCCUCUGGGGACACAGUUGGUGCAGGCAUGAUUAUCCUAGGACUGGGAACGAGGACACUGAGAAAGGGGUAAAUACCUGGCUGAAGCCAAGUCACAGGGAACUUUCAGCAGGGAUCAGAGUGGGUGUGGCACAUUCUCCCACUUUCUCCCAGCAACUGUGUACUGAGUGCCCACUAGAGACUGGGUGCUCUCCUCUCACUAAUGCACAUUCUGUUGGAAAUAAGAGGCAUGUCGACAAAAUCUGGCAGUGAGGUGGCGAAUGGACAUGGCCUUUGGUGGGGUGCAAACCAUGAGUUUUAGAGACACAUGGCUACAUGCUAUGCUGUGAUCAGAGAGCUUGCUGGAAGAGACGGCAUUGGAUCUGACCACAGUAAAGGAGAGGAAUUCAAAAAACUAGGUUGGAGGGAAGAUCACAUUCCUGAUGCAAAGUGGCAAUCAGGUCCCAAGACUGAGUUCUGGAAUAUUGGCAAAAAUGACAUAGAGCCUCUGCAACCAUUACCCAUAAAUUCCUCCCGGAAGCCUCUCCCUUAGUUUGCCAUCUGGAUACAGAGGACCCAAAGCCUUAGGAGAGCCGAGGUCCCAAAUCACCAUAUGGAGGCCACCCAUCAAAUGCCUGCAAAGAACCGCUACUUAAGCAGGAAACAAAUUUCUAUUUUGAGAAGACACUGAACUGGGAUGGGGGGAUGUUUGUUAUGUGGUUUGCCUACCCUGACUUAUACAGGAUGAUCAUAUUAUACCUGAUCCUCUGAACAUCUUACAUUUAAUUGAAAUGUCCACCCUGGCUUUUUCUGCAACUAGUUUUGUUUUUACUGUUCUAUCUCAAACAAAUAGAAUGCUCCAUUAUAUCACCAGAAACAUUUCCUAAAUGAAUAAACACAACAACUUUGGAGGUCUGCAGCAGUAUUAUAGCCAUAAUAGGAAUAUCAGAGCUAAAUGGGGUGAGAAUAUGAAGUUACCAUCUGAGAAAUGAGAAGGAAAAGCAAAUCCCAAUCCCAAACUAUCUUGAGAAUAAUUUGUCCAUGGCAAUAAUUAUAUAAAGAGAUUAUGUUUUCACUUUUUUUUUUAAAAAAAGUGCUUUCCCCUUCUUUUGAAAUUGCAUUUGAAUUUUAA